GNGGCAGAGUGAAGGGGGGGGGGAGUCAGCUCGGUCUCGCGAAUGCNNCUAGAGUUAGUUUGAUCAUGGCUCAGAAUCAAUCGCUGGUGGCGUGCCGUCAGACAGUGCAGAGGUCUGAACGAGAAAGUUUCCGUUCGGGAGACGAGUAAAUGUGGCGCACUGGNGUGAGUAACACGGUUAGGGUAAGUCUACGCGUUCGUGGUGUGUGGGAAUUAGAUCCCUAUGGAGGAAACUUUGUGGCGUAACACCGCGAUUAAAGUGCAGCGGGCACCACAUGGGUGACAGGUUUGUUAAAACGCCGGGGGGGGAUUUUCGGGAACCCUCGCGCCCGUGAAAAGAGGGAGCCUAGCGGNCCGGCAUAUAAGCCUAAGAGAUAGGGAGAAGGGGAAAACGGGCGUCACCAAAGGUGGACCGAAAUCCCGGAACGCCGGGGCCCUUGAAGAAGGGGGCCGGGGUCCNGAGGCCAACCACGAGGAACCANCUUAGAACNAGUAAACCGGGGGGACAAGAAAGUAACCGAAACGGAGGGAAGAGGCCANGAGCAAAGGCUCNA
rnacentral:rRNA from 1 species